GCCCGCACUUCAGCAGCAUGCUAAAAUUGGAAUGAUGUGUAGAGAAUAACACCGCCCUGCACAAGGAUGGCAUGGAAAUUCAUGAAGCAUUCCAUGGUUUU
rnacentral:snRNA from 1 species